UACGGAAGGUGCAAGCGUUGUCCGGAAUUACUGGGCGUAAAGGGCGUGUAGGCGGUUUUUUAAGUCAGAUGUGAAAGUUCGGGGCUCAACCUCGGAAUUGCAUUUGAAACUGGAGAACUUGAGAACUGGAGAGGUAAGUGGAAUUCCUAGUGAAGCGGAAAAUGCGUAGAUAUUAGGAGGAACACCAGUGGCGAAGGCGACUUACUGGACAGAUACUGACGCUGAGGCGAAAAGCGUGGGGAGCGAACAG
rnacentral:rRNA from 1 species